GAAGCGCGACCCCGUGGCACCGCGCAUCUGCGUGUCGUCACUGCUGCAAUCCGAGCGACCCACUACGCCAAGCCGCCGUCCUCCUGCCCAAGCUUCCCACUCGAGCGCCCCGACGCCAGCAGAUCUUAUCCGGUCGCGACGGCGCGACCGCCCUGCAGCAGCCGAGCUCCCGUCGCCGUCCGAGCCGCCACCGCCCUCCGUCCCAACGAGCUGCUUGCUGACCGUCGCUGAACCGCCGCCUUCUUGCUGCUACUGCCGCCGUCGGCCGCCCACCGCGUCUCCGCCGCUGAGACGCCAACGUGCGAAGAAACCCUAGGGUUUCAGCCACGAAUCGGGUCGCGCCAGGUCGGACCGGAGCCUCCAAUCGGGUAGGGUUUUAGGCGAAUUUGGGCUUUUGGGCUUGUGGGUUUUUGGACUUGGGCUGGUUUAGUAUAGGCUUGUGGGCCUGUUUUCUUUUAAAAAGGGAGGAGGGGCACCUCUUGGGUUGGGCCCGCAAUUCGGGCCCACCUGCCCCAUUCGGACCGAACUCGGGUCCGGUCGAUCCGCGUUGACCGGGUCGGGUCGAAUCGAACCCGACCCGGUUCACCUUUUUAAAUCUAAAAUUAAUUUUAAAAAUUAAAAAAUAUUUUCUUUAAAAAAUUAAAAAUUAAAAAAAUAUUUAAAUAUUAAAAAAAUUCCAAAAUCCAAAAAAAAUUAAAAUAAUUAAAAAAAUGUUUAAAAAAUUAAAAAUUAAUUAUUUUUCUUUUAAAAAUUAAAAAAAAAUUUAAAAAAAAUUAAAAAUUUCGAAAAUCCAAAAAUGAUGGGAUUUGGUUAGGAAUUGCUAUCUUGCUUUCUUAGUGUAAUUAGAUAUUUAUUUGCUCGUAUAUUGAUUAUGUCGAAUAUUUAAUUUGCUUAUAUAAUUAUGUUUAAUUGCACGUGUUUAAUUUUAUUGCAAUUAGGAUCUUGGUAGUUAUGAUUAUUACUUUAAUGAUUGCGCACCCGCAUGAUCACCUCUUAUGUUAGUGGGUAAGUAUAAAAUCAAUUCAAACUGUCUGCCAAAAAUCAUUUUGUUAAAAUGAACAAGAUUAGGUACCGAAAGGGCACUAAUUGGUUAAUUAGUGUAAUCAAGUCCCCGAACCUAGAUUCUCUGGUUGCGUAGGAAGUGAGGCACGCUCCCAUGCCUCACUUGGUUUCUAGCCGACCCCAAUAGGCUAGUGGCGACUCCUUUUGUGCAAAAUUCAUGAAAAAUAUCCCAACGUCACACGGGGUAUGGGCUUGGGAGAGCUCGCGCCUAAUCAUAUCCACAUAGGCCCGUCCUUUGGGCAAUACCCCUAAAUCUGUUCCCUCCCCCCGAGGGUAGGUCGCGACAGCUUGGCGACUCCGCUGGGGACGUGGUUUUAAACUUUAGAGGACUUAGGCCAAAAUUAAUCUUGUUCAAAAAUAUUUUGUUUGGCAGCGAGGAUUCCAGGUACGUCCAUAACAUUAUAGGUGUUAAAUGUUUUUGCAGAAUGGGAGGUAUAAGGGGAAGUGUUUGCUCACCUUUGUCUUGCAGGGAGGUGUAGGAAUGUAUGGUUUAUUUUUCAUGUAUGAAGUGCUGAUUGUUUAUAAAUUGUCAUGCCUGCAUCCCCUGCAUUGCACUACACUAUAGCACACACUACCUGCCGCCGGACCUGGGCCGCAUAGGAUCAUUUAGGAUGGUGUUGAGGUGGAUACCACUCCGACUACAACCGCGUAGUACGAGUCGCCCAUCUCUACCCCGAAAUUUCUUCCUUCACGUCAAAGGUACCCACCCCAGUCUGCAACUGCGCGACACGGGUCGGUUCCUUGACGAAGCCGGAGUCAUGGGUAACCCGACCUAGCCGCGACCUUGCUGGUUCAGUUCGGUAAUCCUAUGGCUCCAUUUUGGGCCAUAUAGAGUAGAAAUCGAACCACAUCUCAUGUGCAUGUCUAUGUAAAAUAAAUAAAAAAUAAAAAACAAAGGUCGGCACCCAUUGUAAGUGUCAUUUUCCUUUUUAUUUGUUCAUUUUGUAUUGUAUUUUCAUCUUAAAAUUCGCGAGAAUCAAUCGCAUGUCCUCGGUGAUGCAAGCUUAUGAUUGAAAAAUUGGCAAUCGCUUUUGACAAGUGAGCAUUUGAAUGCAAGUUCUAAGCAUUUUGAUUUGGCCCUGUUGAACACAUAGUUUUGUUUAAACUUCUAAUUAUGGGCUCAAAAUCAUUUUGAAAAAAAAAAAAAGAAAAAAAACUUUCAAGUUGUGAUUUUAUAUUUGGGCACAAAAAUUGAAAUUGCAUUUUUUUUUUUAUCAAAUUUUCUCAUUCUUAUAUUUUGGGACUAUAAUGCAAAUCAUUUUGUGUAUAAAUUCCUCAAAAUAGAAAUCACUUCAUUUUUCUAGGAGUAAAAUCACAAAUCAAUCUUUCAAAAAUCAAAGACAUUUUUGCAUUACGAAACUUUUGGAAUAAAAGUGGACAUUCGAUUGAUGGUCGUGGAUUGAUAAUUUUAAUGAUAUAUUCUCUUAUGAUAAAAUCUUGGCGAAAUACUAAAGUCCUGUAAUAAUGAUUGUGGGGCAUGUAUCGUCGCCUCGAUUUUAUUGUAAGAAGUGACGUCAUUAAAAUAUUAUUUUCUCUCAUUCACAUAUUGACAUUGUCAUCUUUUUGCAGGUUACACGUGAUGCUCCAUGACAUUCUCGUGUUUGACUACAUAGAGAAGUGAAUUAUGGGGCUAGAACGAGAGUUGAUUUUUACUCUUAUCUAUACAAGAGUUUCUCGCAUUUUAUCAUUGUUUUUAUUCUUGUUAAGAAUCUUGUUUUCCCUUUUGGGUUUUGGUCGCGAAUCCAAUUGAUGCUUUGGUAAAUCAUGCGACUCAUUUUUUUAUGAUGGAAUUCAAUUUCGUGAAAAUCAUCCAAAAAAAAAAAGAAAGAAAGAAAGAAAAAAAAAACAAAUUCAGAAAUGUUUCAAGCAAACAUUUAUGUCUACCUUCCAAAACGAAUUUCAAGAAAACUUUGCUUAAGACCCUCUCUUCACAAAAUCGCUUUCUUCAGUAGGACGAUGAGUUUAUUUGAGAUCGACAUUUGCUCAUUCUAAAAGAUAAAAGUGUAGACUUAUAGAACUUGAGGAGUAAGCAUGCGUUGAAACAUCCUCGGUGCCAAUUUUCCAUAGAGGCGGGACGAAGUUGAAUUUCAUUCUAGGAAGUUUUGUUAUUCGCAAAUUUCUUAGAUGCCUAAACAACCCAUCGAUCUCAUUCACUUUGCAUGAUGAGACAAAUGAAUGGAGUUGCCAAGCAUCCAAAAAUGCGAAAUUGAAGGAAGAGUAAAUUGUAUCGAUUCCAGUUAUUCAUUUCUAAUACCGUUUCUGACAUGACUUUCUUUUCAUUGUCAAGGAGAUAUCAAGAGCGCCAAGUUUUGUAACGUUCCCAACAAACACGAUGGAGCACUUUUAAGUCAUGUUCAUCUUAAACAAAAAAAGAUUCAAAUGAAACAAAGGAGCAAUAUUCCUCCAUGAGAGAUACCUCGGGAUGUUGAUCGCCCGACUUUAAAAAGGAUGUAUCUCGUUCCUAAACUUGAUUCUCUUCAGCAUAAAAAAAUGACAUGUCCUUUUUCUUUGAUACAGGACGGGUUCGAACAUAACAAAGGAUUGUCAAAUGAAGAGUGGCAGAGCAACAUCUGAUUUUUUUUUUAAAAAAAAAUCUCUCAUCUCCCCACAAACAAAGUGUGCUGGAACAACAUUGUCAAAUUCAUCAAGAAGGAUGUAUCGUUCCUUUGUUGAACCUAACUAAAAAUAGAGAUAACUCAUUUCAUCUCCCUUCUUAUAGGGUGAUAUAAAAUAAAAAAGGGUUGCACUUAACCGUAGAAUCGGCGCCUUCUACCAAGGAAUCAGGAAAACAUCAAACACUUAAGGGCAAAUGCAAGGGAAGGGUAUUGUUGAGUUGCCAAAUAUCCAUGAAGGUGAAUCCAAGAGAUGUUAGCGUCAAAAGGAUGAAAGCGAGUGAAGGGUAAUAAUGUAUCGUUUCCAACAUUUCAAUCCCUAAGGAGCUUUGCACUAACAUAUUCUUUUACAUUCUUUACAGGAUUAUCGGGUCGCCAUGCUGCAGGUAAGUACCCUUCUUCUCAGUCUUUUUUUUUAAGUAAAAAAAAAAAAAAAGAAAGAGAAAAAAAAGAGAAUUUCCUUUACAAAAGAGAACUUUUGGGCUUUCCUAAAAAAAAAUGAAUAAUAAUUGAGAAAAAAAUUACAAACCUUUUGAACAUCCUUUCUAUCUCAAAAUUGUUUUCUUGUCUUGUGGAUUAUUCAUUUUGAAUCAAAAUUCCCUAUGGAGAUUGAUAUACUCGAAUGAUAUCGGCAGAGUGAAAUGGAAAUGUUGACCAUGCCAAACAAGAAAUGCUUAGGAUGAAGAAAGGCAAGCUCAUUUCCAAACACGUCCUUUAAACACUUUUGAGAGUUGAGCAUUAUUCAAACACUUUUGAGAGUUGAGUGAAAAGAGACCUUCUCUUAGGACAAAUGAUUCAUUCGCAUUGAGCGCAAAGAUAGAAAUGAUAAAGGUGUUGCCUUCAUCAAUCCCAAGCAUUGCACUGAUCUCUUGUUACCCCUUUGGGUUGGAAAAAAAGAUGAUCCUUCAAAGUACCCCUAUCGAGAACGACCCUACAUUGGGGCAACAUAGGAGGUUACGGUCGUGUUGUAAAACGAAAGGUUGAGAAAGAUUCUAUUACUUUCACUUACAUCAAUCUUCUUGUGGUAGCUUCAGAGGAAUUCUCAUCGAAGCUUGACUCAUCCCAAGGUGAAGAAUAGCAUUUCCUUCUCUACCCAAACACUGAUACCCAUUGCUAUAACCAAUUUGGGCCUGAUUAUUCAUUUAUGAAUCCCGAGCAGUGAUCAUCUCCCUUCACUGGGGCAAGGCAUAAGUAUUGACCAAAUAUAAUUGACAAUCACAGGAAAAUGUGAAAAGCAUCUCAAAAGUCAUAAGCUACCAAAGUUCAAAGAGCAAAAAGCUCGACAAACUAGGGGGCAUGAAAAAGCAGUGUGCCUAGUAAAAGCAAGGCCAAUGCCCGUCAAUAAAAAGAGCCAAAAGGCCGCAUCUUAUGUGAAAGAAAAAUUAUCAAAAUCCAAGUGCCUGCGAAAAAAAAAAUCAUCGCAAAUGACAAAGGAAAUUAGAGAAAAGAGCAAAGCUCUCAUGCAGAAAUGAUCAGUGAAUGAACUCUCGAGAUGUGCUGUGUUUCAAGAGCCAAAUGAUUUCGAAAGGUCAAGUGACCCGGUCACGAUGCCAUGAUGAUCACUGACUCUUAAAGACCCUCUUGAAAAUUUUAAGCCUUUCAAGCCUUUCCCGAGCCAACAUUAUAACCCUUUUCCGAAGCCUCUUCUGAUUGGGAUGAUUUGAGUGAAAAUGAGAAUACCACAAAGAAGCUACUGCUUGAAGGAGUGGAAAUAAUUCUAUCUUGUCUUAUCUUCCAAGUUCUCGACUCGUAAACCCAAUGAAGAUAGCGACAAAUGUUCCUUUAUUGGCCUCAAAGCAAUCAUUCCUUUGUGUAAGCCCUAACCAAGCCUAUAUUGCGAUCCUUUCAAAAGACCUUUUUGAUCAAUCAGAUUGUGCUCAUUGCGAAUGUUUCCGGAAGCCUUCGACAUAGGCUAUGUGAGAUACUUUCAGCAAUCAGUUACUUCCCACAUGAAUGGAUGGGAUCAAUUAACCAUUUUAUCGAGAGUAUGUGAGAAGCCCUUUCUGACUAAAAAGCUCCAGUUUGGCAUGCUUAAUGAGUCUUUUUCACAAAUAGAAAUCAUUCUGGUAAGAACUUGACUCAUAGAGAAUUUGAUGAUUAACGAUGCAUCCACGAGCAAGAUGACAAUUUUGCGCCACAUGAUCCUGAUUGAAAUAAAAUAUUUUUCCAAAGCAGUCAGACUUAGCUUGAUUAGCUUGUUCAAUUAAUGCUGCAAUAUUUCUAAUACGACGUCCCUAAUGACAUUUGCCCAAGUUGAGUUUCACAGGAUUCCUCAGUGAAGCCAUGCAGUUUUCAGGGGAUUAGCGGGUGCUUCCCUAAAAAUCAAAGGUUCAUGGUCAACCUUAAACCAUGCCAUCUCCAAAGGUUCAUGGUUAGCCUUAAACCAUCUCAUCUCCAAAGGUUCAUGGUCAGCCUUAAACCAUGUUAUUCACACGGUUGGUGGGUUUAUCCUUAAACCACGGGGUUGGUGGCUUUCCUAAACCACACGGUUUGUGGGUCUUUCCUAAACCACACGGUUGGUGGGUCUAUCCUUAAACCACGGGGUUGGUGGCUUUCCUAAACCACACGGUUGGUGGGUUUAUCCUUAAACCACACGGUUCGUGGGUCUAUCCUUAAACCACACGGUUCGUGGGUCUAUCCUUAAACCACACGGUUGGUGGGUCUAUCCUUAAACCACACGGUUCGUGGGUCUAUCCUUAAACCACACGGUUCGUGGGUCUAUCCUUAAACCACACGGUUCGUGGGUCUAUCCUUAAACCACACGGUUCGUGGGUCUUUUCCUAAACCACAGGGUUCGUGGGUUUACCCUUAAAUCACAAGGUUAGUGGGUUUAUCUUUAAACCACGGGGUUGGUGGCUUUUCCUAAACCGCACAGUUCGUGGGACUAUCCUUAAACCACAAGGUUCAUGGUCAACCUUAAACCAUGUUCGUGGGUCUUUUCCUAAACCACAGGGUUCGUGGGUUUACCCUUAAAUCACAAGGUUAGUGGGUUUAUCUUUAAACCACGGGGUUGGUGGCUUUUCCUAAACCGCACGGUUCGUGGGACUAUCCUUAAACCACAAGGUUCAUGGUCAACCUUAAACCAUGUCAUCUUCUUAGGACCCGAUGGGCUUUCCGUAGCCUGGAGUCCUUCAAUCCCCUUCUUAUGACUCGGUGAGCUUUCCGUAACCCGGAGUCCUUCAAUCCCCUUCUGAUGACCUGGUGGGCUUUCCGUAGCCCGGAGUCCUUCAACCCCCUUCUUAUGACCCGGUGGGCUUUCCGUAGCCCGGAGUCCUUCAACCCCAUUCUUAUGACCCAGUGGGCUUCCCGUAGCCCGGAGUCUUUCUUCCUCGUAUUGACAAGACGCGCUUUCAUAGUUAUGAGUCAUUUUCAUCGACCUGAUGCGUGCCUAUACACUCAGGGUCUCUCUAUCGCCCAAAUAAUUUAGGUGUCUUUUGUCUUUGAAUGCAACCUCUUAGAGCUCCCAUUCAAAGAGGGGCAGCUGUUGACACCUAAAUUUUACAAUUUUAUUAUGUGCAAAAUUAGGAAUUAGUCACUAAAACAAAAAAAAAAAACAAAAAAAAAAAACAAAAGCAAAAACAACAAAAAGAAAAGAAAAAAAAGAAAAAGAAAACGUGGAAGGGGCCGAGCCCGUUUCCUUCUUGGCCCGGCCCCCGUUGGCCUCUGUCCUUCUCCAACUUGUUUCGCGUGCGAAACCUGCAAAAAAGAAAAGCAGCAGCAGGGCAGAAAAAGAAGAAAGGACAGAAUAGAGAGGAGACAAAAAAAAGAGGGAGAGAGCUCGAGGGAAGGGGGGAUGGAGUGAACACAGGGGAGAGCAGAGAAAAAGCGAGAGAGAAACCGGAGGGAGAAAGACAGAGAGAAAUCAGGUCGGGGAAGAAUCCGAGAAGGGAGGCCUCGUCGCCUCAACUCGAGCUCUUCCGAGCCGCCGCUCCUAGUCCCCUCGCCGUGCCGCCACCGCUCCUGCAACCAGCUUCGUCGCUGACGCCGCAGCGACUACUGGAGAAACCGAGCAGCUCGCCGCCAAAGCUACUUGCAAAUCUGCCCAGCGGCGACACCGCCGCCGCUGCUCGGCCCUUCGCAACGCCAGCAACCCGCGAAGCCGGCACCGUUGCUGCCCGAACAAACCAGAUCUGAAGGAAGAGGGCAGCGGCGGCGCUACCCGACGCCGUCCGAGCCGCUGCCCUCCGCACGCCAUCCCAACAGCCUGCCUCUGCCGACCACCACUACGCCGUGCCUCCGCCUCUGCCCAGAUCCGCCGGCCACGCCUCUGCCCAGAUCUACCGUGUCGAAGCGCGACCCCGUGGCACCGCGCAUCUGCGUGUCGUCACUGCUGCAACCCGAGCGACCCACUACGCCAAGCCGCCGUCCUCCUGCCCAAGCUUCCCACUCGAGCGCCCCGACGCCAGCAGAUCUUAUCCGGUCGCGACGGCGCGACCGCCCUGCAGCAGCCGAGCUCCCGUCGCCGUCCGAGCCGCCACCGCCCUCCGUCCCAACGAGCUGCUUGCUAACCGUCGCUGAACCGCCGCCUUCUUGCUGCUGCUGCCGCCGUCGGCCGCCCACCGCGUCUCCGCCGCCGAGACGCCAACGUGCGAAGAAACCCUAGGGUUUCAGCCACGAAUCGGGUCGCGCCAGGUCGGACCGGAGCCUCCAAUCGGGUAGGGUUUUGGGCGAAUUUGGGCUUUUGGGCUUGUGGGUUUUUGGACUUGGGCUGGUUUAGUAUAGGCUUGUGGGCCUGUUUUCUUUUAAAAAGGGAGGAGGGGCACCUCUUGGGUUGGGCCCGCAAUUCGGGCCCACCUGCCCCAUUCGGACCGAACUCGGGUCCGGUC
rnacentral:lncRNA from 1 species